UCAAUGUCCUCAUCACAGCCUGAAGGAAAACAGUUAUCAACAAGUCACCAUGAUGAUAAGAUGUCAGCUGAGCUAACUAAAGAAAGUACAUACAGGCCUGACAAGAGUACUACUGCAGGACAGGGAGAAGC